UCGAGCAGCAGCCCCAGGACGAGGCAGUCGAGUUCGCCGUCAUGGGUCUGUGGCGCUCAGCUCGGCGCGGCGCACCCCUCCCCUGGCGACAUCCUCCGUCGGCGACGCCUCCUCCCUACCACGGCUCCCGGCGGCGUCCCCCCUACUGGCUUGGUCCUAGAAUGCUGCUUCCCCACUAGCAGCGGUGGCGACGACGACAACCCCUUUCACAUCGUGGGCGCGGCUCCCCGGCCUUGACGGCCCCUCCUCGGCCUUGGUGGUGAGAUCCUCUAUCUCCGCACGCAACCGUCCAACAGCUGCUUUGUAACACCCAAAAUUUGAUUUGUAAUUAAUAGGAUUUAAUUUGUUUUAUUUAAGUAUUUUCGUGAGCAUUUGAAUCUAGCAAAUAAAUAAUUUUAUGAAAAUUAAAAUUCAUCAUAAGUUUAGAAAUAUGGUUUUGCAUUCAUGCUGGAGCAUGGUGUUUUUGUGUGUUGUUUCUGUUUUUAUUUUAUUUGUUUUUGCAUUCAAAAUUCUCUUUAGAAAAAGGCUUUGGAAAAAUAAAAUGGAAAAGAAAAACAAAAAAAAGAAGCCAGCGCUGCCGCAGCAGGCGGCCCAGCCAGCCCUCCCUCAGCCUGUUUCCCUCCCUCCCCCCGCCUCGGCCCAGGAGUCGGCCCAACCGCGCUGAUCCCCCUCCCCCUUUUCUUUCUCUGGCUGGCGAGCAGGCCCCAUCCCUUCUCUCUCUGCCGCACUGGCCCCACACGUCAGCCCUCCUCCUCCAUCCUCCCUGCCGUGCUCGAGCAGGAAACGAUCCCUCACCGAAUCGAAUCCGUAGAGCCUGAUUUCCUUGCCUAACGCGAAAACCGACUUCUAUAAAACCCCCAGCGUCGCCCCCGUGUGUUGUUUUCCAUCCCCGACGCAAGUUUAGGGCCCUAGCCGCACCUGUCGAGGUGUGCCGGGAUCUCACCGUGUCGAGCUCCAUCCGCCGUCGAGGCACGCCCUCCCUGCCCCCUCUUCGCUCGAGUGAAGUGUUGUGGUGAGUUCGCGUGAAGCCUCUCUAUGUUUCCAUGUACUCGGUUCUGUUUUUGGUGCACAGAAUAGAGAAAUCAGCGGCGCCGGUGAGCUUCAAGGGCUCCGGCCAUGGCGCCACCGCGCCGGAGCUAACAGCCGGCGGCCGGCCGCCGCCCUUUUCUCCCUGGUUGAAUCGUGACCGUCGGAUCGAGAUCUAAGGGCCGAAAAUAAAACAUACCCCUUCGGCUGCGUUUUUCAUAAAGAGCCCCUGGAGAUUUCGGUAUUAAACCCGCGGUCCUUUGCGGUUUUCCUCAGUUUACGCUUCUUAGUUUUUGAAAACGUAUUUCGUUUCGGCUGAGUCAGAUUACGCUUUCGGUUAUUUACAAUUUUGCCAUCGAUUUUAUAAUGCUCAUAAAAUAUUUAUUUUAACUCCGUUUUUGUCCAUUCAAAUUUCGUUAGAUUCGUAUUUACGAGCUCUACAUGUUAGAAGUAUUAGUUUACUGUUUUGAAACUUUUUAAUUUCCUGGUAACAUUUAAUUAAUUAUUUCUCUAUAGGAAAUAUUGAAAAAUGCAUAACUUCUCCGUUUUAAUUCCGAUUUUCGUGAACUUUACGUUUGUGUGAUCGUAGCACUGCGUAGAACAUUUUUAUAAACUUUUAUCUUUGUUUUACCACUGUUUGGUGUAAUAUUCUAAUUAUAUCUUCUUUGCUUUGUGUAUGAUUAUCUCCAAUGGAUUGCGUGUUGUUGAUUGAUGUUUGGGAAUAGACGGUGAGCCGUACGUUGGUGAGCAAGACCAAGCCGUACGUUGGUGAGCAAGACCAAGCCUUUGAGCACCAGCAAGCUUAGGAGAGUUUUGAGCAAGGCAAGUAUAACUUGGGAUCAUCCUUGUUACCUAUUCACUAUUAACUACACAUAUAUGUCAUAUGCAUGCUAUCACCUUGUCGACCUUAGCAAAAUCAUAGAUGAUUGUUAUCUGGAUUCCUUGUUACCUACUUGAUAUGCAUUUGGUGUAGAUGUGCUAGUGCUUGAUAUAAUCCAUGAUCUUGUAAGAUGAUUAUUAGCUAUGCAAUGGACAUAAAAGAAUGACAAAUAACUGUAUGAGAUCUUGUCUAGUCUGUACGUGAUCACCCGGGACAACAGUGCAACCAUGAGGGCUAUAAUGGCUCUGGCUUUAGCUCAGUAUGAAGACCUUUUCUAGCUUGUUAGAGGUUACCCGAAAGGGCGGAGGGGCUGAACCGUUUUGGGUAUAGUGUGAGCCCCUGUCCCUAUGUGUAUAGGCUGCGCGUCAUUGUGCCAUUCGGAAGGGGGGUAUCUAUAUCUACGCGCAAAGGAAACCUUACGGCCCUAACAUGUUAGACGAACUUUUGAAAGGCUUCAUAGUGAUCCCUGCCGACCUCCCUAGGAAGGGGGUUAGGAGACUAGCUACCUCGGGCGAAAGGGUAAAUCAUGACUCAUGGGUAAAGAUGUACAACCUCUGCAGAGUGUAAAACUGGUAUACUAGACGAGCUCACGGUCAGGAGUGGCCUUGGGGACAUCUACAUUAAGAUGAUGAACUUGUUAUGUUAUUAUGUUCAUUUGAUUGUCGUUUAUGCUAAGAGUCAAAUAUGCUUACAACUGAUCAUGAGAUUAUUGGGUUAUUUAUGCUGCCUUGACUUUUGCUAUUUAAUUAUGGACAUGCUAUCCACUAUUAAAAGCUAAAUGCAGUCAAACCAGUGUCAGCUAUUUGAGCCUCAUGAACCCCUGGUUAUACUUGUUGAGUACGAUAUGUGCUCACUCUUGCAAUUUCCCAACACCUCAGGAUAUGAUAAUGAAGAUGACUAGAAUGAGGAUUACCGUUAUGAGUACUAGGUUUGGAGUCAACCAGUCAACAGUGUCCCUGUGUGGAGCUUCCGUC
rnacentral:lncRNA from 1 species